GAUGAACGCUAGCGGCAGGCUUAAUACAUGCAAGUCGAGGGGUAACAGGUCUGUAGCAAUACAGAUGCUGACGACCGGCAAACGGGUGCGGAACACGUACAGAACCUUCCUUCGAGUGGGAGAUAGCCCAGGGAAACUUGGAGUAAUAUCCCAUAGGAUCAUAGGGUGGCAUCACUUAGUGAUUAAAGAUUUAUCGCUUGAAGAUGGCUGUGCGGCUGAUUAGGUAGUUGGUGUAGGUAACGGCUCACCAAGCCUUCGAUCAGUAACUGGUGUGAGAGCACGACCAGUCACACGGGCACUGAGACUCGGGCCCGACUCCUACGGGAGGCAGCAGUAAGGAAUAUUGGGCAAUGGAGGCAACUCUGACCCAGCCAUGCCGCGUGGAGGAUGAAGGUCCUCUGGAUUGUAAACUUCUUUUAUUUGGGAAGAAAUGCCGAUUUUCUAAUUGGUUUGACGGUACCAGAUGAAUAAGCACCGGCUAACUCCGUGCCAGCCGCCGCCGUAAUAC
rnacentral:rRNA from 1 species